rnacentral:rRNA from 1 species
AUUGAACGCUGGCGGCAGGCCUAACACAUGCAAGUCGAGCGGAUGAAGGGAGCUUGCUCCUGGAUUCAGCGGCGGACGGGUGAGUAAUGCCUAGGAAUCUGCCUGGUAGUGGGGGAUAACGUCCGGAAACGGGCGCUAAUACCGCAUACGUCCUGAGGGAGAAAGUGGGGGAUCUUCGGACCUCACGCUAUCAGAUGAGCCUAGGUCGGAUUAGCUAGUUGGUGGGGUAAAGGCCUACCAAGGCGACGAUCCGUAACUGGUCUGAGAGGAUGAUCAGUCACACUGGAACUGAGACACGGUCCAGACCCCUACGGGAGGCAGCAGUGGGGAAGAUUGGACAAGGGGCGAAAGCCUGAUCCAGCCAGGCCGCGUGUGUGAAGAAGGUCUUCGGAGUGUAAAGCACUUUAAGUUGGGAGGAAGGGCAGUAAGUUAAUACCUUGCUGUUUUGACGUUACCAACAGAAUAAGCACCGGCUAACUUCGU